rnacentral:tmRNA from 1 species
GGGGCUGAACGGUUUCGACUGCGUACGUUGAUCUAGGGGAAGCGUGUCGGUGCAGGCAAGAGACCACCGUAAGCGUCGUUGCAACCAAUUAAGCGCCGAUUCCAAUCAGCGCGACUACGCUCUCGCUGCCUAAGCAGUAGAGCGUGUCUGUCAGUCCGGGUUCGCCCUCGGUCCGGGUACUGGCAUCAGCUAGAGGGCUCACCGUUCGUCUCGGUCGCGGAGGCGGGCGGAACAUCAAACAGCGACUGGGAUCGUCAUCUCGGCUAGUUCGCGAGACCGGGAGAUCCAAGUAGAGACACAGCGAACUGCACACGGAGAAGCCCUGGAGACGCGGCGGAGGACCCGGGUUCGAUUCCCGGCAGCUCCACUU